AAACUUGGGCUAAUACCGCAUGAGCCCUGAGGGGGAAAGCGGGGGAUCUUCGGACCUCGCGCUAAGGGGGGAGCCUACGUCUGAUUAGCUAGUUGGUAGGGUAAAGGCCUACCAAGGCGACGAUCAGUAGCUGGUCUGAGAGGACGACCAGCCACACUGGGACUGAGACACGGCCCAGACUCCUACGGGAGGCAGCAGUGGGGAAUUUUUCGCAAUGGGGGCAACCCUGACGAAGCAAUGCCGCGUGGAUGAAGAAGGCCUUCGGGUUGUAAAGUCCUUUCGUGGGGGACGAAAAGGUGGUUCCUAAUACGAGCUGCUGUUGACGUGAACCCAAGAAGAAGCACCGGCUAACUCCGUGCCAGCAGCCGCGGUAAUACGGGGGGUGCAAGCGUUAAUCGGAAUCACUGGGCGUAAAGGGUGCGUAGGCGGUACGUUAGGUCUGUCGUGAAAUCCCCGGGCUCAACCUGGGAAUGGCGGUAGAAACCGGCGCACUAGAGUAUGGGAGAGGGUGGUGGAAUUCCAGGUGUACCGGUGAAAUGCGUAGAGAUCUGGAGGAACAUCAGUGGCGAAGGCGGCCACCUGGCCCAAUACUGACGCUGAGGCACGAAAGCGUGGGGAGCAAACACGAUUAGAUAUCCUGGUAGUCCACGCCCUAAACGAUGAAUACUACAUGUUUGGUACCUAGCGUACUGAGUGUCGUAGCUAACGCGAUAAGUAUUCCGCCUGGGAAGUACGGCCGCAAGGUUAAAACUCAAAGGAAUUGACGG
rnacentral:rRNA from 1 species